AUUGAACGCUGGCGGCAUGCCUUACACAUGCAAGUCGAACGGUAACAGGUCUUCGGAUGCUGACGAGUGGCGAACGGGUGAGUAAUACAUCGGAACGUGCCCGAUCGUGGGGGAUAACGAAGCGAAAGCUUUGCUAAUACCGCAUAAGAUCUAAGGAUGAAAGCAGGGGACCGCAAGGCCUUGCGCGAACGGAGCGGCCGAUGGCAGAUUAGGUAGUUGGUGGGAUAAAAGCUUACCAAGCCGACGAUCUGUAGCUGGUCUGGGAGGACGACCAGCCACACUGGGACUGAGACACGGCCCAGACUCCUACGGGAGGCAGCAGUGGGGAAUUUUGGACAAUGGGCGAAAGCCUGAUCCAGCCAUGCCGCGUGCAGGAUGAAGGCCUUCGGGUUGUAAACUGCUUUUGUACGGAACGAAAAGACUCUGGUUAAUACCUGGGGUCCAUGACGGUACCGUAAGAAUAAGCACCGGCUAACUACGUGCUAGCCGCCGCCGUAAGAC
rnacentral:rRNA from 1 species